GAUGAACGCUGGCGGCGUGCCUAAUACAUGCAAGUCGAGCGAACGGACGAGAAGCUUGCUUCUCUGAUGUUAGCGGCGGAUGGGUGAGUAACACGUGGAUAACCUACCUAUAAGACUGGGAUAACUUCGGGAAACCGGAGCUAAUACCGGAUAAUAUUUUGAACCGCAUGGUUCAAAAGUGAAAGACGGUCUUGCUGUCACUUAUAGAUGGAUCCGCGCUGCAUUAGCUAGUUGGUAAGGUAACGGCUUACCAAGGCAACGAUGCAUAGCCGACCUGAGAGGGUGAUCGGCCACACUGGAACUGAGACACGGUCCGGACUCCUACGGGAGGCAGCAGUAGGGAAUCUUCCGCAAUGGGCGAAAGCCUGACGGAGCAACGCCGCGUGAGUGAUGAAGGUCUUCGGAUCGUAAAACUCUGUUAUUAGGGAAGAACAUAUGUGUAAGUAACUGUGCACAUCUUGACGGUACCUAAUCAGAAAGCCACGGCUAACUACGUG
rnacentral:rRNA from 1 species